UUUCCGUAGGUGAACCAGCGGAAGGAUCAUUAUAGAAUAACAAAGCUGCGAGAGCAGCCGCUGCGCCGCCAGUAUGUUCACGCCCGCGUGCCCCCACACACCGCCAUCUCACCCCCAUGUGCACCCCCGCGAGGCUCCACCUUCGUCUUGCUCGGUGGCGGCCUUACGUCUUCUCACAUACUUAGUAUGAAGCGUAGAAUGACUUUUUUCUUUUUGCGAUCACGGAAUCAAUACACCUUUCAACAACGGAUCACAUGGCUCAAGCAUCGACGCAGAAAG
rnacentral:misc_RNA from 1 species